rnacentral:rRNA from 1 species
CAGUAGCCGCGGUAAUACGUAGGUCCCGAGCGUUGUCCGGAUUUAUUGGGCGUAAAGGGAGCGCAGGCGGUUUAGUAAGUCUGAAGUUAAAGGCAUUGGCUCAACCAAUGUAUGCUUUGGAAACUGUUAGACUUGAGUGCAGAAGGGGAGAGUGGAAUUCCAUGUGUAGCGGUGAAAUGCGUAGAUAUAUGGAGGAACACCGGUGGCGAAAGCGGCUCUCUGGUCUGUCACUGACGCUGAGGCUCGAAAGCGUGGGUAGCGAACAGGAUUAGAGACCCCUGUAGUCCCUGUCUCUUAUACA